rnacentral:rRNA from 1 species
ACCGGGGCUAAUACCGGAUGGUUGUUUGACCGCAUGGUUCAAACAUAAAAGGUGGCUUCGGCUACCACUACAGAUGGACCCGCGGCGCAUUAGCUAGUUGUGAGGUAACGGCUCACCAAGGCAACGAUGCGUAGCCACCUGAGAGGGUGAUCGGCCACACUGGGACUGAGACAGGCCCAGACUCCUACGGGAGGCAGCAGUAGGAAUCUUCCGCAAUGGACGAAAGUCUGACGGAGCAACGCGCGUGAGUGAUGAAGGUUUUCGGAUCGUAAGCUCUGUUGUUAGGGAAGAACAAGUACCGUUCGAAUAGGGCGUACCUUGACGGUACCUAACCAGAAAGCACGGCUAACUACGUGCCAGCAGCCGCGGUAAUACGUAGGUGGCAAGCGUUGUCGGAAUUAUUGGGCGAAAGGGCUCGCAGGCGGUUUCUUAAGUCUGAUGUGAAAGCCCCCGGCUCAACCGGGGAGGGUCAUGGAACUGGGGAACUUGAGUGCAGAAGAGGAGAGUGGAAUUCCACGUGUAGCGGUGAAAUGCGUAGAAUGUGAGGAAACCAGUGGCGAAGGCGACUCUCUGGUCUGUAACUGACGCUGAGGAGCGAAAGCGUGGGGAGCGACAGAUUAGAUACCCUGGUAGUCCACGCCGUAAACGAUGAGUGCUAAGUGUUAGGGGGUUUCCGCCCCUAGUGCUGCGCUAACGCAUUAAGCACUCCGCCUGGGGAGUACGGUCGCAAGACUGAAACUCAAAGGAAUGACGGGGGCCCGCACAAGCGGUGGAGCAUGUGGUUAAUUCGAAGCAACGCGAAGAACCUUACCAGGUUUGACAUCCUCUGACAAUCCUAGAGAUAGGACGUCCCCUUCGGGGGCAGAGUGACAGGGGUGCAUGGUGUCGUCAGCUCGUGUCGUGAGAUGUUGGGUUAAGUCCCGCAACGAGCGCAACCCUUGAUCUUAGUGCCGCAUUCAGUUGGGCACUCUAAGGUGACUGCCGGUGACAAACCGGAGGAAGGUGGGGAUGACUCAAAUC